rnacentral:rRNA from 2 species
AUACCGGCAGCCCGAGUGAUGGCCGAUCUUAUUGGGCCUAAAGCGUCCGUAGCUGGCCGCACAAGUCCAUCGGAAAAUCCACCCGCUCAACGGGUGGGCAUCCGGUGGAAACUGUGUGGCUUGGGACCGGAAGGCGCGACGGGUACGUCCGGGGUAGGAGUGAAAUCCUGUAAUCCUGGACGGACCGCCGAUGGCGAAAGCACGUCGCGAGAACGGAUCCGACAGUGAGGGACGAAAGCUAGGGUCUCGAACCGGAUUAGAUACCCGGGUAGUCCUAGCCGUAAACAAUGCCUGCUAGGUGUGGCUCCCACUACGAGUGGGUGCUGUGCCGUAGGGAAGCCGCUAAGCAGGCCGCCUGGGAAGUACGUCCGCAAGGAUGAA